rnacentral:lncRNA from 1 species
UGUCAGGGAACUGCCAUCGGACGGAAGGGAGGUGAAAGGGCUCACACAGGUUGGGAGAGACGCAGCAGCUGAAGAGGGAACCAGCAGGGAGGUGAAAGGGCUCACACAGGUUGGGAGAGACGCAGCAGCUGAAGAGGGAACCAGCAGGGAGGUGAAAGGGCUCACACAGGUUGGGAGAGACGCAGCAGCUGAAGAGGGAACCAGCAGGGGGAGAGGAGCUGAGCUGGAGGGAUGGCUCAGAGACACUUCCAGCGAAAACAGUGGGGAGGUUUCAGGACCUCCUGUAAGAACACCCACUCCUCGCCGGAAACUGUCACGCAGAGAUUCCAGAAGACGUGUUUCCGUUAAGGAGCUUUUAUGUUGGAAGCGAUUACGAAAGCAACCACUGUCGGAAUCUGCUAGUGACUAGAGUAGCCAUGUCUGAGGGGCUCCGUCACAGACAGAGGUUUGUGGACUUGAACAAACUCUGAGGGGAUACGAUUUUACGCACAAGCAGCUCAUCAUCCCAUCACAGCAUUCCGACAGUCUUUGAAAGCAGCUUGUGCAGGAGAAGGCAUCAUGAGCAACCCAGCCGGAACCGGAGAAGCAGGAGCUGGAGCGGGUCCAAGCCUGGAAGAAAGGUACCAGAUGUUGGAGGUCCAGCUGGCGAUGCAGACGGCGAGGCUUGAGGAGAGGAGGGCUCAGGAUGCAGACAAAAAGGGGAAAGCCACCCAGUUCGCCAGAAAGGUACCAGGAUUGGUGCAGAAGUUUGGGGGGGGAGCCCAAAAACUAUCAUGGCUUUCGGACAGAAAUGCAAUAUGCCCUCAAUCUGCAGUUUGAUGAAUUCCCUGACGAGGAAUCACGAGUGGCUUUCGUGAUUGAGCAUCUUGAAAAGGGGGCGAGAGACUGGGUUAGACCCCUGAUGGCAGCAAAUAGUGACGUCUUAAAGGACACGAUGAAGUUCUUUCGCGCCAUGGAUCUGAUGUUUUCCAGCGAUAUUGAAAAGGGAGUGGUGCGCAGACAGUUAAUGGGUUGCAAACAGGGGAGCCGAUCUGUCCGUGAGUACUGGACUGAGUUCACCAUGCUUGUUCACAGAUUGGGGUGGGACUUAUCGGCGGAACCCAUUCAAAUGCUCUUUGAAGAAGGGCUUUCUUCGGCUGUGAAAGACGAACUUUCCCGGGCGCCCAGGGCGGAGUCUAUGGACCAGCUGACCAAAUCAGCGCUGGCCAUAGGAGCGCGCCAGGAGGCGAGAGCAUUGGAGAGGCGGGAAGGGAAAGGGGAACGUUGGAAGGAGUUCCGCAUUCCAGACAUUCCAGAGCCAACUUUCCCACCGGCAGAGCCGAUGGAAAUCGGAACAGCAGCGCGCGCGCAGUUUCAAAGCCCAGUGAGGGGGCAAAGAAGGAGGGAAAAGGCGCCCGGAAAUGCUAUCUCUGCCAACAGCCAGGUCACUUUGCCAGAGUCUGCCCCCAGAGGAAAGAAUGGCAAGGGAUGGUAGGAGCUGUGGAUGGAAGAGAGGAAGAAAUACCGGAGCAAGUAAAAGCCAACGCCUGGCUGCCACUGUCAGGGCACAGCAGCCAGGCCAAAGAGCAGUGAGAGUGCCCACGCCAGAACCUCCUAAACCCGCCCUAGUGAUAGAAGUGACGCUAGAGCUGCCAAACGGACACCCUCUAAAGAUAAAGGCGCUGUUGGACUCAGGCAGCUCCUGCAAUUUCAUGAGCAAAGAGUUUGCAGCUGAACACCAGAUACAGACAAUCCUUUAAGCAGCCCCCUGCAGGUGACCACGAUCGAUGGCAGGGAGCUGUUGGGUGGAGAAGUCAGCUUGCAGACCGUCCCAAUGAUAAUGAAGGUAGCAAGGCACACCGAACUGAUAGCUUUUAAUGUGGCCACCUUGGGAGGAGCUCCCAUUAUAUUGGGGAUGAGCUGGCUAGCGUUACAUGAUCCGCUGGUGGGCUGGCAUCAGAGAGUGGUUUCUUUUGGUUCAGCACAUUGCUUAGAACACUGCAAAGAGGGAAAGGGUUUGGCAGGGGUCCAAGCCACCCUAGCAGGGACUGAAGUAACAGAGAACGUGAAGGUACCACGACAAUAUGCAGAUCUCCGUGACGUCUUCAGCGAAAGGGAAGCUGACCAACUACCCCGCAUAGACCCUUUGACUGUCAAAUCAACUUACUCCCUGGAGCACAGCUCCCUGUAGGCAAGCUGUACGCCAUGUCAGACAGAGAGAUGCAGGAGUUAAGAGAGUUCAUUGACAAGAACCUGAAGAGAGGGUUCAUCAGAGAGUCCAGGGCGGUGGGGGCAGCCCAGUGUUUUUGUGGAUAAGAAAAACACGAACAAGCCGAGGCUGGUGUGUGACUUCAGGGCCUUAAAUGCAGUGUCAGAACCAGUAGCCUUCCCUAUGCCCAGGAUUGACGACAUUUUGACAAGGGUGCGGAAGGGAAAGAUUUUCACAAAGCUGGACCUAAGGGGGGCGUACAACCUGGUACGAAUAAGGAAGGGGAUGAAUGGAAAACCACUAUGUUCACCCCUUUAGGGGCAUUUGAAUAUUUGGUUAUGCCCUUCGGCCUACAAGCAGGCUCCGCAACAUUUCAAUCGUUUAUGAACCACGUCCUGGGGCCUUUGCUUUACAAGAAUUGUGUGGCCUUUUUAGACGACGUGUUGGUGUAUUCUGAGAAUGAGGAGCAGCAUGUGAGAGACGUCAGAGAAGUGUUGAGCAGGCUGCAAGCCAACCAGCUGUGGGUGAAACUGGAGAAGUGUCAGUUUCAUACCAAGGAGGUGGAAUUCCUGGGGUAUCGCCUGUCAGACAAGGGAUUGGCCAUGGAUCCCGGCAAGGUCCAGGCGGUGCUGGAAUGGAAAACACCCAAAACAAAGAAGGAUGUGCAGAGGUUCCUAGGAUUUGGGAACUUCUAUCGUAAGUUCAUCCGAAACUUUGCCCACCUGACGGCGCCCAUUACGGACUGUCUCAGCAGUAAGAAGAAGUUCGUGUGGACUGAGGAGGCGGAGCGAGCAUUUGAGGAACUAAAAAGGGCCUUCGCCUCGGAACAACAACUCCUGCAUGUGGAUUUACAAAAACCGAUGAGAGUGGAAACUGACGCAUCAGACAGAGCGAUUGGGGCGGUGCUUCUGCAGCCAGGCAAGAAGGGGUCAGAGUGGAGACCGUGUGCCUUUUUUUCGCGAAAGCUGAACAAAUCCGAGAGGAACUACACGGUGUAUGACCGAGAACUACUAGCCAUUCAUGAGGCGUUCAGGAGAUGGAGGCACCUGCUAAUUGGCGCACAACAUAAGGUGCAAGUGUGCACUGACCACAAGAACCUAGAGUAUUGGAGGACGGCACGAGUGCUCAACCAACGGCAAGUGAGAUGGGCCCAGGAGUUCUCCAAAUUUAACUUUGAGAUUAGUUACGUGCCAGGCCCAGAGAACAUUAGGGCGGACGCUCUCUCACGCAAACCUGAAUAUUUGGAGGGGAGGGGCACCCGAAGAGAGACAUGUCAUUCCAGAGGACCGCUGGGUGUGUGGGGCGGCAUUGGUGGGACAAAGAGAACUGGUAGAGGAAACAGAGAAUGAUGAAUACGCCCAGAAUAAGCUCAGAGGUCUUAGGGGUGAUGGAGAGGAACCAGGGGUUUCGAGGAAAGAAAUGGAGCUUUGUAUUACAAAGGGGCACUGUAUAUCCCUGAAGGAGAGUUAAGGGGAGGGUACUCAAGCAGUUGCACGACAGCCCUACGGCGGGGCAUUUUGGACAACACAAAACCAUGUGGUUGGUCACCAGGGAAUUUUGGUGGCCUAAGGUGAGGGAAGAUGUACGUGAGUAUGUAAGAGGGUGCGAGCAAUGUCAGCGAGCCAAAGGGGAAAGGCGGGCGCCGGCGGGGCUAUUAGAACCCUUACCAACCCCAGAACGACCUUGGGAGGCAGUGUCGAUAGAUUUUAUGACUGAUCUGCCGAAGUCCAAAGGGAAAACAGCCAUCAUGGUGGUGGUAGACCUACUAACAAAGAUGUGCCACUUUGUAGCUUGCUCGCAUGCAGUCACGGCGGAAGAGACAGCGAAGUUAUUUGUAGAACACAUUUUUAGGUUGCACGGGGUGCCAUUGAGGGUGGUCUGAGACCGAGGAAAACAAUUUACUUCCAGGUUCUGGAGGAAGCUCAUGAGCUUACUGCAGGUGGAGGUCACUUUUUCGACUGCGCGGCACCCUGAAACCAACGGGCAGGCGGAAAGAGCAAACGGUGUCCUCCAGCAAUACCUGAGGUGUUAUGUCAAUGACAGAGAGAAUGACUGGGUAGAAAAGUUGGCGCUGGCGGAAUUUGCCUACAACAAUGCCGAGAAUGUGUCCACAGGGAUGAGCCCCUUCUUGGCUAAUUAUGGGUGUCAUCCCAGGGCUUUCCCAGGGGGGAGAUGGGGAGAGAUGGAGCGUCCCGGCAGCCGAGCAUUUUGUGGAAGAAAUGGAAGCAAUCCAUAGUCAGCUCCAACUCAACUUAGAAAGGGCGAAGGAAGAAUACAAGAGGCAGGCAGACAAGAACCGAAGGGAAGGUGAAACCAUAAGGGUGGGAGAUAGGGUGUGGCUGUCAACCCAAGGGUUGCCGUUCAAAGGAGGUUGUAAGAAAUUAAGACCCAGGAGGUUGGGUCCCUUUGAGGUCAUUCAACAGGUCAACCCAGUGGCUUUCAGGCUCCGGUUACCCAACCACAUGAAACUGCACCCAGUAUUUCACAGGUCGUUACUGUCACCGUACGAAGGGGGACGAGAAGGGCUGGCCACUCGGGGACCGGUCGUAGAAGAAAGAGAAUGCAGCAGCCAUGUGGCAGAAAUCCUCGACGCCAGGUGGAAGGGGGAUCAGGUGGAGUAUUUGGUAGCGUGGGAAGGAGAACCGGAGUCAGAAAACACUUGGGUAAUGGCUGAAGAUAUCAAUGACGAGGUAUUGAUAGAAACGUUCCAUCAAAGGUUCCCAAGGAAACCUCAGCCUGUGGAGAGGUUCCGGAGGGAAUACUUUGGGACCACUGAUGAAGGGGAGGAGUUGGAAGGAUUCCCGGACUCGGAAGGGGAAGGGGAGAUGGACUCUGAGGAGGAGGUGUACUUCGAGACCAGGAACCGCAACAGGUUGAGAGAAGUGUUCGAGACAUCGGAAGAUGAAGGAAGUUCAUUCCGGGGUUUUGCCUCCUCACCGCCCGUAGAGGAAGGGGCGAGAGGGGGUGAAGGGGGCCCUGGAGGGGAGGUGGAUGUCAGGGAACUGCCAUCGGACGGAAGGGAGGUGAAAGGGCUCACACAGGUUGGGAGAGACGCAGCAGCUGAAGAGGGAACCAGCAGGGAGGUGAAAGGGCUCACACAGGUUGGGAGAGACGCAGCAGCUGAAGAGGGAACCAGCAGGGAGGUGAAAGGGCUCACACAGGUUGGGAGAGACGCAGCAGCUGAAGAGGGAACCAGCAGGGGAGAGGAGCUGAGCUGGAGGGAUGGCUCAGAGACACUUCCAGCGAAAACAGUGGGGAGGUUUCAGGACCUCCUGUAAGAACACCCACUCCUCGCCGGAAACUGUCACGCAGAGAUUCCAGAAGACGUGUUUCCGUUAAGGAGCUUUUAUGUUGGAAGCGAUUACGAAAGCAACCACUGUCGGAAUCUGCUAGUGACUAGAGUAGCCAUGUCUGAGGGGCUCCGUCACAGACAGAGGUUUGUGGACUUGAACAAACUCUGAGGGGAUACGAUUUUACGCACAAGCAGCUCAUCAUCCCAUCACA